AUUGAACGCUGGCGGCAGGCCUAACACAUGCAAGUCGAACGAGUGGCGGACGGGUGAGUAAUGUCUGGGAAACUGCCUGAUGGAGGGGGAUAACUACUGGAAACGGUAGCUAAUACCGCAUACCAUCAGAUGUGCCCAGAUGGGAUUAGCUUGUUGGUGGGGUAACGGCUCACAAAGGCGACGAUCCCUCGCUGGUCUGAGAGGAUGACCAGCCACACUGGAACUUGGACACGGUCCCGACGCCGAAGGUAGGCAGCAGUGGGGAGAAUUGCACAAGGGGCGCAAGACUGAUGCAGCCAUGCCGCGUGUAUGAAGAAGGCCUUCGGGUUGUAAAGUACUUUCAGCGGGGAGGCGUUACCCGCAGAAGAAGCACCGGCUAACUCCGUGACAGCAGCCGCGGUAAUUC
rnacentral:rRNA from 1 species